GUCGGGCGGUANCNGGNNGAAGCUUGCUUCUCNGCUGACGAGCGGCNGANGGGUGAGUAAUGUAUGGGGAUCUGCCUGAUGGAGGGGGAUAACUACUGGAAACGGUAGCUAAUACCGCAUAAUGUCUNCGGACCAAAGCGGGGGACCUNCGGGCCUCGCGCCAUCAGAUGAACCCAUAUGGGAUUAGCUUGUAGGUGAGGUAACGGCUCACCUAGGCGACGAUCCCUAGCUGGUCUGAGAGGAUGAUCAGCCACACUGGGACUGAGACACGGCCCAGACUCCUACGGGAGGCAGCAGUGGGGAAUAUUGCACAAUGGGCGCAAGCCUGAUGCANCCAUGCCGCGUGUAUGAAGAAGGCCUUCGGGUUGUAAAGUACUUUCAGUCGGGAGGAAGGUGGUAAGGUUAAUAACCUUAUCAAUUGACGUUACCGACAGAAGAAGCACCGGNUAACUCCGUGCCNNCAGCCGCNNUNNUACGGAGGGUGCAAGCGUUNAUCNGANUUACUGGGCGUAAAGCGCACGCNGGNGGUUGANUGANUCANANGUGAAAUCCCCGGGCUUA
rnacentral:rRNA from 1 species